UUAUGUCAACACCCCGAAAACAACAUAUGAUCAGUGUCCCUCCACAGUCCCUGAACACACUGACUCUAAAAAUGGAAUGGAACUGGAUCUUGCUGUUCCUCCUGUCAGUAACUGAAGGUGUCCACUCCCAGAUUCAGCUGCAGCAGUCUGGACCUGAGCUAGUGAAGCCUGGGACUUCAGUGAAGAUUUCCUGCAAGGCUUCUGGCUACACUUUCACUGACUAUGUUAUGCACUGGGUGAAGCAGAGCCCUGGGCAGGGCCUGGAAUGGAUUGGAUAUUUAUAUCCUUACAAUGAAGAAACUAACUACAAUGAGAAAUUCAAAGGCAAGGUCACCUUGACUGCAGACAAAUCCUCCAGCACAGCCUACAUGCAGCUCAAAAGCCUGACAUCUGAUGACUCUGCUGUCUAUUACUGUGCAAGACACAGUGGUGUAACCACAUCCUGAGUAUGUCAGAAACCU